rnacentral:tRNA from 1 species
UCUGUAGCUCAGAGGUAGAGCAUCCCCUUGGUAAGGGGAAGGUCGCGAGUUCAAAUCUCGCCAGA